rnacentral:rRNA from 1 species
AUACGGAGGGUGCAAGCGUUGUUCGGAAUUACUGGGCGUAAAGCGCGCGUAGGCGGUUUGUUAUGUCAGAUGUGAAAGUCCACGGCUCAACCGUGGAAGUGCAUUUGAAACUGGCAAACUUGAGUACUGGAGGGGGUGGUGGAAUUCCCGGUGUAGAGGUGAAAUUCGUAGAUAUCGGGAGGAAUACCGGUGGCGAAGGCGACCACCUGGCCAGAUACUGACGCUGAGGUGCGAAAGCGUGGGGAGCAAACAGGAUUAGAAACCCCAGUAGUCC